AUGGAUCUAGGUGCUAUUGCAACUCCGCAGUCACUAUGGCUCGUCCUUCUCCUCUUCCUCAUCAUCGUGUACCUCGCGACGUCGCGUUCUAGAGCAGAGAAGCUGUACGGCAAGCUUCCAUCGCCUCCAUUCAAGCUCCCCUUGAUCGGGCACCUCCACCUCGUCGGGUCUCUGCCCCACGUCGCCCUCCGCGACCUCGCAACGAAGCACGGCCCCGACGUGAUGCUCAUCCGCCUCGGCGUCGUCCCCACGCUCGUCGUCUCGUCGCCUCGCGCUGCCAAAGCCGUCCUACGCACGUACGACCACCUGUUCGCGUCCCGGCCGCACUCCCCCGUGGGCGACAUCCUCUUCAGUGGCUCCACCAACAUAGCCUUCGCCCCCUACGGCGACUACUGGCGCCAGUUAAGGAAGAUCGUCACCACCCACCUCCUCGGCGCCAGGAAGGUCCGCUCCAACCGCGCUGCCCGUGAGACAGAGUUGCGGCUCGUCCUGGCCAGGGUAAAGGCCGCGAUAGCCGCGAGCUCGGCGGUGGACGUUAGCGAGGUCUUCAGCUACUUCGCCAACGACGUGAUAUGCCAGGCCGUGCUUGGCAGGCUGCCCCGGGAGGCGGGCCGGAACAAGAUGUUCCGGGAGCUGCUGGAGAUUAACUCCAAGCUCCUAGGUGGGUUUAUACUCACCGACUUCUUCCCCAGCCUUGCAAGGCUGGACAUGGCGUCCGGCAAGGCGGUGAAACAGAAGAAAAUAUGGGACGACCUGCUGGACGACCUCAUCGACAAGCAUGCGAGCAAGACGGUGAUGGACGAGGACGAGCAAGACUUUAUCGACGUCUUGCUGUCUGUUCAACAAGAGUACGGCUUGACCAAAGAUAACAUCAAGGCAAUACUCAUGGACAUGUUUGAAGCUGGGACCGACACAACGUACGUAUCGCUCGACUACGCCAUGGCUGAGCUGAUGCGGAACCCACGCGUGAUGACCAAACUGCAAGCCGAGGUGAGGAGCUGCGUCACCAAGGGCAAAGAAAUGGUCACCGAGGAAGACCUUGCAAGCAUGAGCUACCUCAAGGCCGUGAUGAAAGAGGCCAUGCGGCUGCACCCGUCCGGGGCUCUCUUGAUACCCCACCUCUCCGUAGCCGACUGCGAUGUAGAGGGCUACACCAUACCCUCCGGGACGCGCUUAAUGGUCAACGCGUGGGCUCUAGGCAGGGACCCCACCUGCUGGGAGAAUGCGGAGGAGUUCGUGCCCGAGCGGUUCUUGAAAGGAGCCAUGGAUGCCGCUUGCGACUUCCAGGGGAACGACUUCCGUUUCUUGCCGUUUGGGUCUGGCCGAAGGAUAUGCCCGGGCAUAACCUUCGCCGCCAUCACAUUCGAGAUCAUUCUCGCCAACCUCAUCUACCACUUCAACUGGGAGCUGCCAGAGGGGUCCCCAGGCGUCGAUAUGACGGAGGAAUACGGGAUCGAUGUGCAUCGGAAGGUGAAGCUGCUUCUUGUCCCACGCAUGGUCUAG
rnacentral:rRNA from 1 species